UGGUGGUCAUCAUUAAUUAAUUAAUAAAUGUGCAGAUUGGAGGAAUUGGAGGGUUCAGAUUAGCCGAGGGAGUGGACGGCUCUGGUGUAUCGACGAAAAUAUUAAGCUGCAAUUGUUCAAUUGAUUUAAUAAUAGAAAAUAAGUCCAAGCUAUUUGGUCUUCACAUCAAUCCUCCAUUCAUCCAAUUGCUUUUUGGCCAUCUCCCUUUUGCAGUGUCACAGAUGGAGGGUGGAGAAGUAUAUGCAGAAAGUGAUGAGACAACAAUAUUCAAUUUCAAAAUUGGGACAAGAAAUAAGGCAAUGUAUGGUGCAGGAAGAAACAUGCAAGACUUGCUAGAAUCUGGUCAAGGAUUGCCUUUGCUUGUUAAAGUUAAAUUAAGAUCAAGUUUUCAUGUAAUUUGGGGAAUAUUCCAACCUAAAUUUCAUCAUCAACUCCAAUGUUUGGUUGUCUUGUCUGAUAAAUAUGACAAGAUACAUAGGACCCAAGUUUAUAAUAGCACUUGUAUAAGUAAUUAAUUAUUAUAAUUAAUUCCUAGUAGUAUUAAAUAUUGUCAUCUAUACAAUUGUCUUAUUAUUACAUUAUUAUGUAUAGGAUUGUUUUAUUUAAGUAAUGUAUUUCAAAGAAUGAAAAAAAAAAGGGAAGGAUUUGAGAGUUCUUAAGGGAAACUAUGUAUUUGUAGAAAAUAUAAAAGAAGUUUUUUUUUUGGAUACAUUUCAUGA